rnacentral:rRNA from 1 species
GAUGAACGCUGGCGGUAUGCUUAACACAUGCAAGUCGAACGAAAGUCUUCGGAUUUUAGUGGCGGACGGGUGAGUAACGCGUGAGGAUCUGCCUAUAGGUUGGGGACAACAGAUGGAAACGUCUGCUAAUACCCAAUGUGCCGAGAGGUGAAAGCUUUAGUGCCUGUAGAUGAGCUCGCGUCCGAUUAGCUAGUUGGUAAGGUAAAGGCUUACCAAGGCGACGAUCGGUAGCUGGUCUGAGAGGAUGAUCAGCCACACUGGGACUGAGACACGGCCCAGACUCCUACGGGAGGCAGCAGUGGGGAAUUUUCCGCAAUGGGCGAAAGCCUGACGGAGCAAUACCGCGUGCGGGACGAAGGCCUUUGGGUCGUAAACCGCUUUUGUUAGGGAAGAACACAAUGACGGUACCUAACGAAUCAGCAUCGGCUAACUCCGUGCCAGCAGCCGCGGUAAUACGGGGGAUGCAAGCGUUAUCCGGAAUUAUUGGGCGUAAAGCGUCCGCAGGUGGUUUAUCAAGUCUGCUGUCAAAUCGUAGGGCUUAACCCUAUAAAGGCAGUGGAAACUGAGAGACUAGAGUACGGUAGGGGUAGCGGGAAUUCCCAGUGUAGCGGUGAAAUGCGUAGAUAUUGGGAAGAACACCAGCGGCGAAGGCGCGCUGCUGGGCCGAAACUGACACUCAUGGACGAAAGCUAGGGGAGCGAAAGGGAUUAGAUACCCCUGUAGUCCUAGCUGUAAACGAUGACAACUAGGUGUUGCGCG